UCGAUCCCUAGGUUGGGAAGAUCCCCUGGAGAAGGAAAAGGCUACCCACUUCACUAUUCUGGCCUGGAGAAUUCCAUGGACUAAGUCCAUGGGGUCGUAAAGAGUCAGAUAUGACUGAGUGACUUUCACUUUUCAGUACUGUAUUAGUGUUCUCCAAAGAACAGAGUAGUAGAAUUAAUACGAUAUAUAUAUUAGUUAAUGUACAUACAUGCAUGCUAUGUUGCUUCAGUUGUAUCUGAUUUUGCAACCCUAUGGACUGUCACCAGUCUCCUCUGUCCAUGGGAUUCUUCAUAAUUAUGUAUACAUAUAUAUAUAAAUGCAUAUAUAUAUGUGUGUGUAUAAUAUUUAUCAAGAUGAAUUAACUCACUUAAUCAAGGAGCCUUAGAUGUUCCAUUAUCUGCCCAAGGCAAACUGGAGACACGGGAAAGUUGGUGGCUGGUGCAAUUUGGUUCAAGUCUAAAGGCUUGAGACCAGGGUAGCCACUGGUGUAAGUCCUCUUCCAGGGAGAGAAGAAAAUCUAUCUAUCUCCUAGCUCAAAGUAGACAGGAAGAUGCAAAAACAGUGAAUUCUUCCUUCUUCCAUAUUUUUCUUCUUUAUAGGCCCUCAACAAAUUUUUUGAUGCCUACUUAAUUUAGGGAAAGUUAACUUCUGCGUCCAUACAUCAAAUUCUAAUCUUAUCUAGAAACAGCACCCACACAGACAUACCCAGAAAGAAUGUCUAAUCUAGGCAACCAGCAACCAGUCAAUAUGACACACAAAAUUCACCAUCAACUAUUUUCCUGCUUCAUUUUGAAGCAGCUUCAUCUGAAGCUAUUUGAGAACAGCUUCUAAGAGAAGAGCUGAGAGGAAUUAAAUACACUCACUGACCCAAGGAGGCUAAGACAUAAAAGCCUUGUCUUUUCUGAGGGGCCCUAUGUGGUCUAUAGUUUCUCUCCUCCUUUCCUGUCCAAACUCCACCCCCUAGAAUUUAACUUUCAUUUCCCCUCAUCUUCUACUUCGGAUCAUCAUAGUGGAGGUCAGGCCUCUGGUAUGGGGAAACUCCAGGAAUCUUUGGAGAGACUAAAGGGGGAACAGCAGAAAGUUGAGAUGCUGGAAGAUGAAAUUCAAGAAGAGAUUUCUACCUGGAAGAAUCAAAUACAGCAUGAAAGAGAAAAUAUUUAG
rnacentral:lncRNA from 1 species